rnacentral:RNase_P_RNA from 1 species
UCAGUCGGCCGGACGGCCGCUCCGGCAAGUGCCGAAAGGCCGCCGGGGAGGAAAGUCCGGGCUCCCUUGACAUACGGUGCCGGAUAACGUCCGGCGGGGGCGACCCCAGGGAAAGUGCCACAGAGAACGAACCGCCCGCCGUAGCAGCGCAAGCUGCGUAGGCAGGUAAGGGUGAAAAGGUGCGGUAAGAGCGCACCGCGGCUGCGGCAACGGAGCCGGCAUGGUAAACCCCACCGGGAGCAAAACCGAAUAGGGACGGCGUAGCGGGCUGUUCGCGAAAGCGAUAACGCCGCGGGGCGAUGUCAGGCCCGCCGUCCGGGUAGGUUGCUCGAGGCCCUGUGCAAACAUGGUCCCAGAGGAAUGGCCGUCACGUAUCGUUCGCGCAAGCGGACGGUGCCUUACAGAACCCGGCUUACAGGCCGGCUGAUAUU